rnacentral:lncRNA from 1 species
ACCUCAGCUCAAUAAUUACUAUAUGAUUGAAAAAAUGAAUGACGGUAAAUCAGCAAACCACAUGUGCUUGGCGACACAUGCUUCAGAUGUUAUCAAUUUAUUUCACAACUUUUUGCAAAGGAUAUGUCGAAGACUACAUACUUUAUUAUAUGAGAGUGGACUUGAUUCAAAUUUUUGUACAUAAUUUUUUUGUGUAUUUUUAGUGUUUCAUUAUACAUUUUUUUGUGGGGAUAUAGAUAAAGCUACGUACGUAAAUGUACUUGUCUCCAGUUUUUUACACCAUUUUUAGUGUUUUUGGGGUUAUACCUAUUUCAGUGGAGUGAUGUAAACACGAAUGAACUAGUCAGAACAAGAUGUCGUUGCAUUACCUCAACGUCACGCUAGAUAGCACUGUCAAUAUAUCCAUGUCCCACAUCUUAAUGCCAGCUUUGCCGACCGCUAAAUGGAUUCAUAUGUUUCGGGUGGAGUACACGCAAAUGUAUGUCAUAAGAAGUCAUUAAAUCGAAAUUCACCGUAUUCGUGUAUAUUUACGCAGUUUAUCUGCGCUUCAAACACAUGGUAGAAGGUGGAUUUGUCAGAUGAAUACGCGAAUUUUAUUAGCAACAUGAGUGGUAAUUAAUUUUUGUGUAAAGAAUUCCAAUUUUUGAAUAAUCUUUAGUUAAUUUCAAAAAAGUGAAUACCCAAAUUCCUGUGCUUGUGAGACAGAGGAAACUGUUAGCUAGGAUAUGCUAUUCACGGUGUAGAGUGUGCGUGUACUCACAUGCGUGACUGGCUGAAAGCAAAACUGAUAUACGCUGUCUCUUUUGUUCAGCACCAUGAUUGGACGGCUCAUCGAGCCAGGAGAGCGCUCGGCUAAUCACGGUGCAGAGCAAGAAAGACACAGUGCAUCGGUUCUAAGAUCCGACUGGCCCGCUACCAAUAUUUUCCCUUCAUUACUACUGUACAUUAUUCUUAUAGCGUUUUCCACUGGUAGCACUGAGGCCGUGUACGAAAAUUGACUGACCGUACUGUCAGCAAUCUUCCAUCUCUUUUGUGCUUCCGAGUUCGUGAAUAGCUUUGACUCUGUCCUAAGGAAUUUUCAGUACUGUCAGUCAAUUUACGAACACGGCCUGAGUGUGAACUGAGAGCGCACUAGCGGUAGACUCGUAUUUCCAGCGUGUUCCAUUCACUGAUAUACAUAUACACUGGAUUGGAUUAAGCGUGGUGCCGUCACGCCAAUUGAACGGUAGCCAUUUUGUACAGAUUCUUGUCACUUCAGAUAUAUAUAUAUAUACGUGAUAUAUGUAUGCGUAUAUAAUCGAUUGCGAUGGAAAAUUACAGUAACAAUUAUUGAGGUAACAAUGAGUACCUGCGUUUUUUGCAAAACAAAGCAAUCAAAAUAUAGUGGGCGAUCAUUUCACAAAUUUCCUGUGAAAGAUGUGUUGCGCGUUCAGCAUUGGUUAGAAGAAAUGAAGAGGAAGGACUGGAAGCCAAACCGAAAUAGCACAUUGUGUUCAGCUCAUUUUACAAAUGAUUGCUUUGAUAGGACAGGAUUCCUAAUUACAUUGAAAAAGAACAGUGUACCAACUAUAUUUGACAACCCAAAAUCAGAGUGUUCAUCUUGUCACCGAUUAAGGGAAUGUUGACAUGGCUAUUCAUUGUUCAAGUUCCCAUUGGAUGCACCUGAUAUUAUGAAGCAGUGGAUCGCAAAUAUAAACAUUGGACCGUGGUCUCCAUCAAGUGAUAGCUUUCUGUGUUCCGACCACUUUGAACCCUCUUGCUUUCAGAAGAAAAGUAAAAAUUAUAUAACUUUACCAAAAGGCAGUAUCCCAACGUUAUUUGGUAAGAUCUGAAACUGUUAAUCCCUUUUAGGUCAGAGAAAACUCAGUGUGCAUAAAGACACGUUGAUGUGAUGCACUAUUGCGUCAAUGCCGUUGAAGCGGUUAAUUACCUACAGAUUAUAAAGUGCUCUGUUACAGAAAAAUCGUGUGUGACACAUUUCUGUGUAUUUCCAUUGUCGUUAUUUAUUAGUAACUUAUCUGUACGUGAAAACUUGCAGCAGACCGAAUUUCAGGAUGAAUCCGAUCGGCCCACCACAGUGAAUGUAACCAAAUUACAUGAUCACCUACACAUUUGUACCUGAUUUGCAUACUCAGCUCCACUUUGAUGAUCAAUGGAUGGUAAAUGGAUUCCCUAACGGUUGAAUUAGUGUUAUACAAAUGUUUGAAUAAUCCGUAUGGAAUUCAGCCCACCAUAGGAUAAAGGAUAAUGGACGAAAACUUCUCAGAAUUGAGGACUUCUUUUGAACAUAAAGAAAAAUCACGCUUAAAUACAAGUUUUUCGUCAUAUUAUUUAAUGAUCUUUUACACCAUAUAAUUUUAAAUAA